GACGAACGCUUGCGGCGUGCUUAACACAUGCAAGUCGAACGAUGAACCCGGAGCUUGCUCCGGUGUAUUAGUGGCGAACGGGUGAGUAACACGUGAGUAACCUGCCCUUGACUCUGGGAUAAUUUCGGGAAACCGUAGCUAAUACUGGAUACGACCCUCGGCGGCAUCGCAAGGAGGAGCAAAGAAUUUCGGUGAGGGAGGGACGCGCGGCCUAUCAGCUAGUUGGUGAGGUAACGGCUCACCAGGGGGACGACGGGUAGCCGGCCAGAGAGGGUGGCCGGCCACACUGGAACUGAGACACGGCACAGACUCCUACGGGAGACAGCAGUGGGGAAUAUUGCAAAAUGGGCGCAAGCCUGAUGCAGCAACGCCGCGUGAGGGAUGACGGCCUUCGGGUUGUAAACCUCUUUUAGUAGGGAAGAAGCGAAAGUGACGGUACCUGCAGAAAAAGCACCGGCUAACUACGUGCCAGCCGCCGCCGUAA
rnacentral:rRNA from 1 species